GGUUAAGCGACUAAGCGUACACGGUGGAUGCCCUGGCAGUCAGAGGCGAUGAAGGACGUGCUAAUCUGCGAUAAGCGUCGGUAAGGUGAUAUGAACCGUUAUAACCGGCGAUUUCCGAAUGGGGAAACCCAGUGUGUUUCGACACACUAUCAUUAACUGAAUCCAUAGGUUAAUGAGGCGAACCGGGGGAACUGAAACAUCUAAGUACCCCGAGGAAAAGAAAUCAACCGAGAUUCCCCCAGUAGCGGCGAGCGAACGGGGAGGAGCCCAGAGCCUGAAUCAGUAUGUGUGUUAGUGGAAGCGUCUGGAAAGGCGCGCGAUACAGGGUGACAGCCCCGUACACAAAAAUGCACAUGCUGUGAGCUCGAUGAGUAGGGCGGGACACGUGGUAUCCUGUCUGAAUAUGGGGGGACCAUCCUCCAAGGCUAAAUACUCCUGACUGACCGAUAGUGAACCAGUACCGUGAGGGAAAGGCGAAAAGAACCCCGGCGAGGGGAGUGAAAAAGAACCUGAAACCGUGUACGUACAAGCAGUGGGAGCACGCUUAGGCGUGUGACUGCGUACCUUUUGUAUAAUGGGUCAGCGACUUAUAUUCUGUAGCAAGGUUAACCGAAUAGGGGAGCCGAAGGGAAACCGAGUCUUAACUGGGCGUUAAGUUGCAGGGUAUAGACCCGAAACCCGGUGAUCUAGCCAUGGGCAGGUUGAAGGUUGGGUAACACUAACUGGAGGACCGAACCGACUAAUGUUGAAAAAUUAGCGGAUGACUUGUGGCUGGGGGUGAAAGGCCAAUCAAACCGGGAGAUAGCUGGUUCUCCCCGAAAGCUAUUUAGGUAGCGCCUCGUGAAUUCAUCUCCGGGGGUAGAGCACUGUUUCGGCAAGGGGGUCAUCCCGACUUACCAACCCGAUGCAAACUGCGAAUACCGGAGAAUGUUAUCACGGGAGACACACGGCGGGUGCUAACGUCCGUCGUGAAGAGGGAAACAACCCAGACCGCCAGCUAAGGUCCCAAAGUCAUGGUUAAGUGGGAAACGAUGUGGGAAGGCCCAGACAGCCAGGAUGUUGGCUUAGAAGCAGCCAUCAUUUAAAGAAAGCGUAAUAGCUCACUGGUCGAGUCGGCCUGCGCGGAAGAUGUAACGGGGCUAAACCAUGCACCGAAGCUGCGGCAGCGACGCUUAUGCGUUGUUGGGUAGGGGAGCGUUCUGUAAGCCUGUGAAGGUGUACUGUGAGGUAUGCUGGAGGUAUCAGAAGUGCGAAUGCUGACAUAAGUAACGAUAAAGCGGGUGAAAAGCCCGCUCGCCGGAAGACCAAGGGUUCCUGUCCAACGUUAAUCGGGGCAGGGUGAGUCGACCCCUAAGGCGAGGCCGAAAGGCGUAGUCGAUGGGAAACAGGUUAAUAUUCCUGUACUUGGUGUUACUGCGAAGGGGGGACGGAGAAGGCUAUGUUGGCCGGGCGACGGUUGUCCCGGUUUAAGCGUGUAGGCUGGUUUUCCAGGCAAAUCCGGAAAAUCAAGGCUGAGGCGUGAUGACGAGGCACUACGGUGCUGAAGCAACAAAUGCCCUGCUUCCAGGAAAAGCCUCUAAGCAUCAGGUAACAUCAAAUCGUACCCCAAACCGACACAGGUGGUCAGGUAGAGAAUACCAAGGCGCUUGAGAGAACUCGGGUGAAGGAACUAGGCAAAAUGGUGCCGUAACUUCGGGAGAAGGCACGCUGAUAUGUAGGUGAGGUCCCUCGCGGAUGGAGCUGAAAUCAGUCGAAGAUACCAGCUGGCUGCAACUGUUUAUUAAAAACACAGCACUGUGCAAACACGAAAGUGGACGUAUACGGUGUGACGCCUGCCCGGUGCCGGAAGGUUAAUUGAUGGGGUCAGCGCAAGCGAAGCUCUUGAUCGAAGCCCCGGUAAACGGCGGCCGUAACUAUAACGGUCCUAAGGUAGCGAAAUUCCUUGUCGGGUAAGUUCCGACCUGCACGAAUGGCGUAAUGAUGGCCAGGCUGUCUCCACCCGAGACUCAGUGAAAUUGAACUCGCUGUGAAGAUGCAGUGUACCCGCGGCAAGACGGAAAGACCCCGUGAACCUUUACUAUAGCUUGACACUGAACAUUGAGCCUUGAUGUGUAGGAUAGGUGGGAGGCUUUGAAGUGUGGACGCCAGUCUGCAUGGAGCCGACCUUGAAAUACCACCCUUUAAUGUUUGAUGUUCUAACGUUGACCCGUAAUCCGGGUUGCGGACAGUGUCUGGUGGGUAGUUUGACUGGGGCGGUCUCCUCCUAAAGAGUAACGGAGGAGCACGAAGGUUGGCUAAUCCUGGUCGGACAUCAGGAGGUUAGUGCAAUGGCAUAAGCCAGCUUGACUGCGAGCGUGACGGCGCGAGCAGGUGCGAAAGCAGGUCAUAGUGAUCCGGUGGUUCUGAAUGGAAGGGCCAUCGCUCAACGGAUAAAAGGUACUCCGGGGAUAACAGGCUGAUACCGCCCAAGAGUUCAUAUCGACGGCGGUGUUUGGCACCUCGAUGUCGGCUCAUCACAUCCUGGGGCUGAAGUAGGUCCCAAGGGUAUGGCUGUUCGCCAUUUAAAGUGGUACGCGAGCUGGGUUUAGAACGUCGUGAGACAGUUCGGUCCCUAUCUGCCGUGGGCGCUGGAGAACUGAGGGGGGCUGCUCCUAGUACGAGAGGACCGGAGUGGACGCAUCACUGGUGUUCGGGUUGUCAUGCCAAUGGCACUGCCCGGUAGCUAAAUGCGGAAGAGAUAAGUGCUGAAAGCAUCUAAGCACGAAACUUGCCCCGAGAUGAGUUCUCCCUGACUCCUUGAGAGUCCUGAAGGAACGUUGAAGACGACGACGUUGAUAGGCCGGGUGUGUAAGCGCAGCGAUGCGUUGAGCUAACCGGUACUAAUGAACCGUGAGGCUUAACCUU
rnacentral:rRNA from 1 species